ACAUGCCUACAACAUAUCAUUAAUGUAGUGGAACCCCUUAGAACUCCAAAAUUAAGUGCGCUCAGGAUAGAGUAGUACGGGGAUGGGUGAUUUCCUGGGAAGUCCUAGUGUUUUACAUGCC
rnacentral:rRNA from 1 species